UGAAAUUCUUCAUCAUCUAGUUCAGAGGCCUGAGGAUUUUUUGGAAAAUGUCGAAAACAUUAUUCAACUUUAUAAGGAAACAAUCCUUAAUUGUUUAGAAGAAGUAAUGGCUGAACAUAAUCCCCAGUUUCUCAUUGAGCUAGAUG
rnacentral:lncRNA from 1 species